AAAACGACUCUCGGCAACGGAUAUCUAGGCUCUCGCAUCGAUGAAGAACGUAGCAAAAUACGAUACUUGGUGUGAAUUGCAGAAUCCCAUGAACCAUCGAGUUUUUGAACGCAAGUUGCGCCCGAAGCCAUUAGGCCGAGGGCACGUCUGCCUGGGCGUCUC
rnacentral:rRNA from 1 species